rnacentral:rRNA from 1 species
AGUGAACGCUGGCGGUAGGCCUAACACAUGCAAGUCGAACGGCAGCACAGUAAGAGCUUGCUCUUACGGGUGGCGAGUGGCGGACGGGUGAGGAAUACAUCGGAAUCUACUUUUUCGUGGGGGAUAACGUAGGGAAACUUACGCUAAUACCGCAUACGACCUACGGGUGAAAGCAGGGGAUCUUCGGACCUUGCGCGAUUGAAUGAGCCGAUGUCGGAUUAGCUAGUUGGCGGGGUAAAGGCCCACCAAGGCGACGAUCCGUAGCUGGUCUGAGAGGAUGAUCGGCCACACUGGAACUGAGACACGGUCCAGACUCCUACGGGAGGCAGCAGUGGGGAAUAUUGGACAAAGGGCGCAAGCCUGAUCCAGCCAUGCCGCGUGAGUGAAGAAGGCCUUCGGGUUGUAAAGCCCUUUUGUUGGGAAAGAAAAGCAGCAGGUUAAUACCCCGCUGUUCUGACGGUACCCAAAGAAUAAGCACCGGCUAACUUCGUG